CCCAUCAAAUAAUAAUAAUUAUUUCCCCUUUCUAGAAGAAAAUAAUAAUUCACUUUGCAAAGAAGCUGUGGCUCCAAAUCCACAAGUAAUUGCAAAGAGGCCUGGAGCAAAUUUUUUGAGCAGGACACUUGGUCAUGAAUCCUUAAGCCGACAAAGGUGCACACCUACAAGUAAUUGCAAAGAGUCCUGGAGCAAAUAUUUGAGCAUAAAAGGAAUCCACACAAGUGCCUAAGCAAUUGACCAUUCAAGGAAACAACAUUUAAUCUAAACAUCUAUAAUCCACACUUGUCUUCAAGGGUUUAAAAACAUCUCAAAAUCAAGAAAAUCACAUUCAAAAUUUGUGCUUAACAGCAAGGAAAUAAAUUCUCUGCCUGAAUAUAUAUUUCUUCAAAAUAUAUACGAAGCACUCAACGCUUCUUAGAGACACCAACAGUCUUCCCUCUGCGACCAGUAGUCUUGGUGUGCUGACCACGGACACGAAGGCCCCAGUAGUGCCUCAGACCACGGUGGUUCCUGCAUCACAGUAUUAUAAAUGUUAGUCUGCUACCCCAUGCCCUCAUAGCAAGAAACUAAACCACAAAAGUAAACUGAAUCAACCAAGAUGCAAACAACUUCUCAAGACUUUGUUAACCCACAGCAAAUAAAACAAAGAAAAGUAACAGAGUAGACAAAAGUAAGUUAUUUGACUUUGCAUUUUUUCCUUUUGGCACAAACCUAAUGACAAAUGAUAUAUCUUAUUCACUCCCUAUGGUUAUUAUAUUAUGUCUGGCGGAUUACAUAGGCAAUAAAUGACAUAAUAUGAUGAUUUUCAAAUUUCUAAAUUCUUUGAGAGCACUAGACUCUUCCCAUCUUAACCCAAAUGAACAUCAUCAAGAUACUGUAAAAAAGACUUCACAUAUGACAAUAACCUGCAUACAUACUUCCUUGAAAGCUAGAACGAGUCAGCAGAAAAAUCAAGGAAAGACAAAUGUGCAUUCCAACAAAAUUGCCCAGAUGCUUAAUAACAAAAAAGAAAGACCACAAACCCAUUUCUAAUAAUUCAAAUACACAUGCUAUAGAAGAGAAUGUCUCAAAUAAAUUGUAGUCAUUCAGUCAUAUUCUCGAAAGUGCUCACUAAAAAUGUGCAACCCAUUUCUAAUAGUUGAAGGAUAUAUAAAGAGUACCAAGGCAAACAUAGAAUCAAAUAAAACGGCAACAUUCAUUCCUAGAUAGAGUUGGCUAGAUCAUAUCUUAUAAAGCAUCAAAUACUUAGCAUGUACAAUCCAAAAGGCAAAAAAUAAUUUUAUUGCAAAACAGUAAGAACAAAGAAAAUAACCUGAUUUUCUUCAAGCGUUCCAAGUCAUCUCUCAAUUUCAUGUCAAGAGCAUUAGACACAACCUGCGAGUACUUUCCAUCCUUGUAAUCCUUCUGCCUGUUCAAAAACCAGUCUGGGAUUUUAAACUGCCUGGGGUUCGCAACAAUGGUCAUGAGAUUGUCCAGCUCCUGUGCAGUCAAUUCACCAGCCCUAAUAACAACAAGAAGCAAAUCAAAUAAGCCACCAAAAACUGAACACCAUUCUACAACAUCCCUUUGCCACAGGACUACACUAUAUACACAUUUCCAACAUUGGCACAGAAGACUACUUAAUCCAAAGUAUUAUAAUAAAUCAUAACUCAGAAUUUUCUUCUACAAGAACAUUAAUCUAUCUACGUCUUGCCUCCCUAAAUCGUUUCCAAAUGAAAAACAAGAAAACCAAGUAAUAUCUUGUCUAACCUUUGUACCAUAAAGCAUGUUAGUUAUCCACAACUGAGCAUAAAAUCGACAUAAACUACCAAAAACACACCAGUUCCUUGUCUAAAGUUUUCAAUGAAAAACAGACCUCUUGUUCAUGUCAACAUCAGCCUUCUUGCAGACAAUGUUAGCGAAACGCCUUCCGAUACCCUUGAUGGAGGUCAAAGCAAACAUAAUCUUCUGCUUUCCAUCGACGUUGGUGUUCAGAACACGCAAAAUGUGCUGAAAAUCUUCGUUGGCGACCAGAGACUACAUGAAACAUAAAAAAAAGAAAAAAUUAAUGAAGACACAACCACCAAAUUUUCGAAAAAACAAAAAAAAAAAACCAAUUCAAAUCAAGCAAAACCAAUUUUAUAAACGCUAAUAUCAAACCAUAAAAACAUAUACACGAGGCAUUUUUAGAUCAAAAGAUAAAAACCUCUUAAGUCGGAUCAAGAAUUAAAAAGCAUAUAAAGCUACAGAAGAGAUGAAGUAAUGAAUUAAUGGGAAUAGAGUAGUAAAGAUUGGGUAUUUGGAGGAGAAAGAUGGAACCCUAAUUACCAUUUUUGCGAGAGGACGGAAGAGGCUCUGGGGUACUGGCGAGAAGAAGCGAAUAACUAACGCAGGCCAAGCUAGGGUUUUUGUAAGGAAAGGUCAAUUAAUAUAUUUUUUAAAAAUAAUAAAAUUCUGAGAUAAAAUAUAAGGGUGUUAUAUGUACCUAGAAAAAAUAUAGGGGAGUUAUGAAUAUAUAUGAAUAAUUUUUAUAUUUUAUAAUAUUUAAUGUAUUUUUUAAUAUUCAAUAUUCAUAUUUAUAUUGUUAUAUUUUUAUCUUUUGCUUUUAUUUAGUGUACGUCAUUUUUAUAUAUUAAGUUCAUCCCUUCUAUUUAUAUAAAUUCAUUUUCGAUCCAUCUACGUGUGUCUAUAAAUAAAGACAUUAUAGUUGAUGGUAGAUAUAAGAACAAAAAAUGAAAUAAAAGAUCUUCUUACAUUCCUACUACUUUUUUCUAAUAUUCACUUUCAAAGUUAUAUUUUAUAACACGUUAACAGCACGAGGUUGUAACCAACUGAAAAGGUAAUUUUUUUUAAUUCUUCAACCAAUUAUAUUUUAGAUUUGUGUACUGUCCAAUCGGCCUAAAGUCGACAAUGGACCUUGAGCCUCUUUCCGUCUCUUGAAGCAAUGGUGGGUCUCAAAAAAUCCCUUAAGUUGUCAAAAUUAAUUUAUGGGUCUAAUUUCCAUACGCAAAAUUAUGACAAAUAUUGAAAUGCCCAAGUUUCAUGUCCUAGAAGUGAGUGGAAGCAAUUAUCUGUCCCGAUACCUUGAUGUGGAGAUACAUCUUCAAGGGUAAGGUCUUGUAAAUGCAAUUAUUAAAGACAAGAACGCAUAGAACAAAGAUAAGGCAAAUGCACUAAUUUUCCUUUUGUCAGCAUUUGCAUGAGAACUUGAAGACUCAAUAUUUAUCCGUUCAAGACCUUAAGAUCCUGUGGACAAGGUUAAAAGUGAGGUAUGAUCAUACCAAGACUAUUAUCCUCCCUCAAGCAUAGUAUGACUGGUAGCAUCUCAGGAUGCAAGAUUUCAAAUUAGUGUCCGACUAUAACUCAUCCUUAUUUGAUAUUGUAUAUCUGCUAGAGUUAUACUAUAUUAAGCUCACUGAAUCAGAGUUAUUAGAGAAAACUUUCUCCACCUUCCAUACUUCAAACUUCAAAUAUUGUAUUGCAAUAGCAAUACUAGCAACGUCAAUUUAAGGCAUACUCGGAGUUGAUUUUUGUCCUCCUAACUGCCAAGUAGACUAAUGAACUGCUGCUCAAGAACUAUGAUCUUAGACUUGUUGGCUUGAAAGCAUUGCUUGAAGCAAAUGCUAGCUCUAGUAAAAAUAUAGGUUGAUUUAAUGGCCAUAAGUGUAGGCAAAGGCAUAACCCACGUUGGGGUGAUGGGAGGCUGCCCUAGGUAAUCCAAUCUUGGCUCGAAUCAUGGCAACGACAAGAAACCCAAGAAAAAGCAUGAUGAAAAUAUCUACCAUUGGUAUGGCAUGGCUGGACACUGGUCGUAUACUUGUCGUAUGUCAAAGCAUUUUGCUGAUCUGUACCAAGCAUCUCCAAAAGAUAAGAGCAAGUGUGUUGAAACUCAUGCUAGUGAAAAUCCUACUGCUAUUUAAUGACUCCUCCUACUCUUGUAUAAGCAAAAACAUCUUUGGAAGUCUCUGAUUUCUUAGAGGACCUUGAUUACCAAGAUAAGGCAUCAAAUUAGUGAAAGAUGUUGAUUUCUCACGUAAGUGCAUGUAUCGUUAACAAGUACUAUAAUAAUAAGUAGAAUUCGUUCCCACAGAGAAUUGAAGUAAUUUCUAAUUGCUAACUACUAAAAUUUAAACAUGUUAAUCUUAUCCAAACAACUUAAUUAUUAAAAAGAAAAAUUGAAACUAAUAACUAAAACUAAUCUAAAAUCUAUCAACACAAUUAUUUUGUUAAAUUUGAGUGAGUACCAAAUUUAAGAUUAUGAUAUCUUUCAAUACUUUAUUUGGAUAUUCUCUCUCUCUUUCUCUCUCUCUCUCUCUCUCUCUUAACUCAAUUUAAUAGAUUAAGUUAUUAACCUAGAGCCCUAAAUUUUUUACAAGUCUUUGUCGAGUUUCUUAUACAAAUAUCUCUCUUAAUUAAUUUACUGUUUGUCUAUGCAAAUUAAAUUGAAAAAAGAUUCAUAAAGUUCGUGCUUUAAUUUUGGCUACGUAUGACUUAUAGGUGUAUGUCUACCCUAUAUGCAAAUCAAACCACCUAAUCAACUAAGUGUAUUCGAUCAUACGUUAUUUUAUUCAAAAUCUACUUAAACCUCUUUCAUUAAGGUUUAACCUAGGUUUUCAAUUCAAUCUAAUUGAUGAUAAGACAAUUAGAAGCAUUAAUAACAGAAUAAAAUAAACAACUUAAAUCCAUCAAAUAUAAGUAAAAGAGAGAUAAAUAAAUCAGACUACAUAUUGAGUUCAAUCAUAAUCUUAGAUAAAUGACUUAGUUCCUCAUUAAGUCAUACAUCAUCAUCAAAUAAAAUUUAAAUAUUAAAAACAAAAACAAGGAAAAAAAAGAAAAAAAAAGAUAGGAAAACUCAAGAAUUGUAAUUUUGAUCUCCAAGUCUCCUUGCAUCCUUCAAAUUCUUCUCAGUUUCGAUAACUUUGUGGGUUGAUUCUUAGCUUUCAAUCCGGUGUUUAUUUUUUUUUAAAGUCCUCCAAAAGUUGUUUUUAUAGGGCUUUGAAGUUAGGCCAAGUUGGGUGAAGAAAGAAGUUAAUUCCAAAUAAGAUUUUCUCAUCAGACUACAUGGGUCGCGACCUACCUCCUCCAAGGCUAUGGCCUUGACCAUUUAAAUAGUAGCAAUCAUAAUUGUUCUAGCACUACUGCAGUGCUUCAACUUCGACAAGAUUUUUCAUUAUCUUUUAGGUCGAACUAGGCAAAGUGGUAAACAUAAAAGCUGUAUCUUUUUCUUUCCAAUGGUUCAAGAAUCACUUCAUUUUGAGCUCCGUAGAGAGAGUUAUAGAUGAAAUACUGAAAUAUGUGCAGUUGAGGUAUACACUUUAAAAUUACUCUUCUUCUUUCAUUAAAAUUCUUCUUUCAUCAAAUACCUAUAAAAGCACAAAUAAAUCAAUAACAACCUAUCUUAAUCACAUUAACACCAAAUUAAACAUAAAAUUAACUAAAAUUAGAUUAACUCACCUAAAUUACUAAUUUAAAAUAUUUUAAAUAAAACUUACUAAUUUCCAUGCAUUAUUACAAAAACUAAGUCAAAUUACUAUCAAAAUUAAACCCAAAUAACUUUAUAUCAGAGAGUUAUUAGAGGACAUCCCAGACUUAAGGUUUGAGGAUUUUACUCUUUUUCUCAUUCUUUUCUCUUCGAAUGUAUUAUCCUCGAUUGAUUAUUCUCAAGAAAAAACAAUAUGGUCAUUUAUAAAAAAAUUAUUAUGAAAUUGAUUCCAUAUUUGUUAUUUAAAAUUUUUCAAUCCCAUGGCUAAUUUGUAAAUUUUCAUAAUACUUAACACUUGAAGUUGUCAAUACAAGUGCAAAUGGGAAUCACCGAGAAAAGGGAAGAUGUUUGUUUGCUUAAUAGUGCAAUGACACAUACCAGACUUUGUGGCAAUAACUUUUUCUCAAGUGUGACAUUAUGCAAGACAAAUGUCCAUACAGUAGUAGGUUCGUUGGGAUUAUUGAUGGCUCCAAAAAUGCCACAAUUGUUCUACCAAAUGGAACACCUUGCAUAUUGAGGAUGCAUUGCUAAGUAGUAGAUUAAAGAGGAAUCUACUUAGCUUCAAAGAUGUUUGCCAUAAUGGGUACCAUCGUGAGACAAUUUAUGAGCAAAAUAAGGAAUGUCUCUGCAUCACUUCUUAUAAGAUAGGCCAGAAAACCAUCCAUGAGAAGUUGGAAGCUUCCACUAUAGGAUUGUAUUGUGUCACUAUUAAAGCUAUUGAAUCUUACGCUAACCAUGUUCUGGAAACUAGUAAAUCUCAAUGAGUUUGGAAUUUGGCAUGAUCGUUUAGGUCACUUGGGAGCUACGAUGAUGCGUAUUAUAAUCCAAAAUACUAGAAAACACCCUUUAAAGGAUAAAAAGGCUUUGUUGUCUAAAGAUUAUACCUACAAAAGUUGUUCAUAAAGAGAGCUCAUUACUAAACCUUCUAUGACAAAGGUGAAUAAUGAAUCUACUUUUUUCUUGCAAAGAAUCAAGGGUAUUAUUUGUGGAUCAAUACAACCAAGUAGGCCGUUCUAAUAUUUCAUGGUAUUAAUAGACGCGUCCUAUAAAUGGUCCCAUAUUUGCUUGUUAUCUAAACGCAAUGUCGCCUUUGCACGUUUUCUUGUGCAAAUUAUAAAACUCCGAGUACAUUUCCCUAAUUAUCCAAUCAAGAGCAUAAGAUGGAUAAUGCUGGUGAAUUUACAUCAAAAAGCUUUGAUGCUUAUUGUGCUUCACUAGGAAUGAAGGUUAAGCACUCAGUUCCAUAUGUUUCAUACUUAAAAUGGAUUGGCAGAAUCCCUCAUUAAAUGCAUCCAAAUUAUAUCUCAUACUCUAUUAUUGAGGACAAAGCUCAACUAUUCAACAUGGGGUCAUGUUGUUUUGCAUGCAAUGACAUUAAUAGGAUUGCACCUUACUAUUAGUCUCUCACAGUCUCUCGUACAGUUGGUUCUAGGUUAUGAACUAGACAUUUCACAUUUCACAUUUACGCACCUUUGGUUGGGCUGUGCACGUGUUUGUAACACCAUCAAAAAAGACAAAAAUGGGUCCUCAAUGUCAUUUAGCAUUUACGUUAAGUUUGAUUCACCAUCCAUUAUUAGGUUCUUGGAACUAACGACGAGUGAUUUUUUUACCACCAAAUUCACAUAUUAUUAUUUCAAUGAAACAAUGUUUUCACCAAUUGGGAUACCUAAAGCAUCCAUGGCUAAGAAGCAAAAACCAAUUGAGAUUCCUUGGAAUGAGAAAAAUCUAUCCCAUUUAGAUCCAACUCCUAAAUGUGAAAAUAAGGAACAACGUAUAAUCUAUUUACCAGCUAUUGUCAAUAAACUUCCUGACCAAUUUAAUGAUGCUACCAAGGUUACAAAGUCUUAUAUUCCAACUAUGAAUAUUCCAACUAAGAUUGUUAUUCUUGAAGAACAGGUUGAAAUGGAUCAAAAUGGCUCACGCUUGAAGUGUGAAAGAUCAAUAGGACCAAAAAACACUAUCUCUCGAAAACGAAGGGGGAGAAAUCAAGAAUCCACUCUAAAAGAGCCUAGUGUUGAGCUUGCUUUGGAAGAGCCUAUUGCCCCUGAAUAGGCAUGAACCCAUGAAAGGACAAUUGACUUCAGGAAUAUUGAGAUUUUCAUUACAAAUUUUAAUGUGAUUUGGGAUCAAAAUGAGAUAAUCCUCGAUGAUGCUUUUGCAUUCUCAGUUGCUCAUGAGAUUAUAAAUGAUGAUUAUGGACCACGAUUUAUUAUUGAAUGUCAUCAAAGGCAGGAUUAAACCAAGUGGGAGGAAACAAUUUAGACUAAAUUGGCUUCUCUAGCUAAACAAAAGGUUUUUAGGUUUGGAGCUAGAACCCUGGACAAUGUAAAGCCCAUUGGAUACAAGUGGGUCUUUGUUUGAAAACAAAAUGAAAAAAACAAGGUCGUGAGGUAUAAAGCUCGACUCGUUGCCCAAGGCUUCUCUCAAAGACCUAGGACUGAUUAUGAUGAGACAUAAUCACUAGUGAUCGAUAUGAUUACCUUUAGUUUCCUUAUUAGCCUAGUAGUUUCUGAAAAAUUAGAAAUACGUCUUAUGGAUGUUGUGACGGCAUAUCUAUAUGGUUCAUUAGACUCCGAUAUUUAUAUGAAAAUUUUCUAGGGAUUCAAAAUGCUUGAAGUAUAUAUUCUUUGCAACUUAUUCUCAAUAAAGUCACAAAGAUCUUUGUAUGGGUUAAAGUAAUUCGGCUGCAUGUGGUAUCAACGCUUAAGCGAGUACCUAAUUAAGGAAGAGUACAAAAAUGAUUAUAUCUGCCUAUGCGUGUUUAUUAAGAAAUUGAAAAUCAGAUUUGCUAUCAUAGCAGUUUAUGUCAAUGAUAUGAAUUUGAUUGGAACUCUAGAAGAGUUAUCAAAAACUACUGAAUAUUUGAAAAGGGAUUUGAAAGUUAAAGAUUUAGGUAAAACCAAACUUUGUCCUAGUUUAGAGCUUGAGCACAAAGCAAAUGAAAUACUUGACCAUCAGUCAGCAUAUAUUGAGAGAUUGCUUAGACAUUUUAACAUGGACAAGGCUCACCUAUUGAGCACCCUUAUGUGUGUCAGGUCUUUUGAUCCCAAAAGGACCCAUUUCAUCUUAGAGAAUAUGAUGAGGAGAUUCUUGAUCCUGAAGUAACAUAUCUCAAUGCAAUUGAGGCUUUAAUGUACUUAGUAUAAUAUACAAGAUCGAAUAUCGCUUUUGCGGUAAAUUUAUUAGCAUGUUUUAGUUCUAAGCUAACGUGGAGACACUAAAAUGGAAUAAUACGUAUCUUUUGUUAUCUUUGAGGAACCAUAGAUUUUGGAUUAUAUUAUUCUAAGGAUUCCACUAACUUUGGUUUAGUUGGAUACGUUGAUACGGGAUAUAAAUUUGAUUCGCACAAAGCUCUCUCUUAAAUAGGUUAUUUAUUUUUCUACAAUGGCACCGCCAUUUCUUGACGCUCUAUUAAGCAAACGCUGUAGCUACAUCCUUCAACCACUCCGAAAUUAUCGCUCUAUAUGAAGCUGAAAGAGAGUGUGUUUGGUUAAGAUAUGUUAUGACGUAUAUUCAUAAUUCUUAUUGUUUAAUAGUGGUUAUAAAUUCUCCCACUAUAAUUUACGAAGAUAAUACUGUUUGUGUUGCACAAGUAGGGAAAGAUAUAUUAAAGGUGACAAGACCAAGCAUAUCGUGUCGAAAUUUUUCUACAUUUACGAACUCUAGAAAAGUUGACUAGUUGAUGUUAAACAGAUUCACUCCACCAAUAAUCUUGCAGAUAUUUUUACCAAAUCAUUGUCAAUGUCAACAUUUAAGAAAUUAGUACAUGGCAUUGGAACGCAGCAAGUUGAUUAGAUGAAAGAUUGAUUUGAUUCUGAAGUGGCAAAGUAUCAAAAGCUUUAGAAAUGGUAAACCCCAGAAAUGACAAUAUGGCUCUAUUGAAAGGGAGCAAUUAUGGAUUAUGCACUGUACUCUUUUUUCCUUUUGAUCGAUUUUUGUCCCAUUGGGUUUCUCCGACUUAAGGUUUUUAAUGAGGCAAUCCAGAAGUGACAAUAUGACUCAAUUGAGGGUGAGAAAUUAUGGACUAUGCACUGUACUCUUUUUUCCUUAUAAUCAGUUUUUGUCCCACUGGGUUUUUCCAGCUUAAGGUUUUUAAUGAGGCAUUCCAAAAAGUGGCAAUAUGGCUCAAUUGAGGAGGAGCAAUUAUGAACUAUGCACUGUACUUUUUUUUUCUUUUAACUUGUUUUUAUCCCACUGAGUUUUUUCAGCUUAAGGUUUUUAAUGAGACGGUACAAUAGACAUUCAAUGGAGAAUGUUAUGAAUAUAUGUGAAUAUCUACAUUAUUUCAUAACAUCCAAUGAAUCUCUCCACAUCCAAUGUACAUAUUUAUAUUGGUACAUUCUUAUAUCUCGGUUUCAUUCAAUGUAUGUAUAUUUCUAUCUAUUAAAUUCAUCCCUUCUAUUUAUGUAAAUUCAUGUCCCCUCUAUCUAUGUGUGCCUAUAAAUAAAUGUAUUGUAGAUCUUCUUAGAACAAGAAAUGAAAUAGAAGAUCUUCUUACAUUCCAACUACUUCUUUCUAAUAUUCUCUUUCAAAGUUAUAUUUCACAAGAAGGGAAAUGAUAUAUCUAUUUUAAGAGAAUAAAAUAAAAUAGUUUAUAAUAUUAUUUUAAUAUUUUUUUAGAGAGAAGGGGAAUUUGAAUCCAUACUCUUUAAACAGGAAGAUCAUAUACUAAUUAAUGAGUCAAAUACUUAAGUGUAAUAUUAUUUUGAUUAUUGAUUGAUAAAAAUAAUUUUAAAAUAAUAAAAAAAUAAACGAUAAAAUGACAAAGUACAUUUUAUUAUAAUUUAAUAAAAUUUUCAAAGUUUUUGAUAUUCAUCGUCUUUUGAAAUAUGUUAUUAUUAAAUUAUAAAUUUAAUAAUAAUUUAAUAUUUUAUUAAAUAAAAUAUUAAUAAUUUAUAAUCAACAUAUUAAAAUUUAGUAUUAAAACAUUAAUAUAAUUUUUAUAUUAAUUUCUUGUUAGCUUUUAUAUAUAUAUUCAUUUUUUCUUUUUUAAUCUUUUAUUUUUAUUUUUAUUAAAAUUUUAAAAUAAUAAUCUAAUUGUUAGUACGAUUUGACGUUGGCAUCUUGAGCACUGAUCUCGCACUUCCUCACGGUUAGAUUUGACUGUGGGAGCUUUUCUUCUCCUGUGAUAAAGGUGAAAGGAAAAAAGAAGACAAGAUUUGGCAGUGUUGACGACGGAGGACGACAAGGUGGUUUUGAAGGAGGACAACUGUCGUGGAGCUUGCUUAAAGAGAGAAGGUGAGAGGUAGAUCAAGAAAAGAAAGAACGAAAAAGAGGAAAAAUUUUUUUAUAUGGUAGGGUUUGUAAUUUCUUAAAAUGAGUUGGUGUAUAUUUGUUAAAAAAUAUUUGGAUAAAAUAUCUUAAUUUUUUUAAAUUUUAAUCGAAAUUUUAAACGAAUUUAUUAAUUUUUAAAAUAGAUACUUUGCUUGAAGAGUGCAAAUGUUAUUAACAUAGGUUACGAGAAAACUAAAAUAUUUUUUUUAAUUUAAAAAAUUAUUAUUUUAUUUUUAAAAAAAUAAGGAGCACCGAGCUCCCCAAGAAAGAGGAGCACCAAGGGAUCGGUGCUCUCCAAAGAAAGGUGAGCUUUUUUUUUUAAAAUUAAUAAAAAAUUAAUAAAAUUAUAUAAUAAUAAUUUUAAAAAUUAAUCAAAAAUAAAAUUAUCUUUUUAUCCUUAUCACGUCAUCAAACUAACGAAAACAUUAUUGAUCGACCACCUACUGGACUUACUUGUCUAGUAAAAAAUAUUUUUUUGAGACGGAGUGUUUAUUUUGAAAAUUAAUUGAUUUUCGUAUAAUUUCGAUCAAAACUUAAAAGAAUAAGGGUAUUUUAUUCAAAAUAUUUGAACUUAACAAGGCAGAAAAAAAUUAAUACCAAGGAGAGUCAAAAUUAGUUAUUCUGUAUUUCUGGAAAAUGGUCAUUACUAUUCUUUGAUAAGAAAACCAACUAAAUAAAGUAAUAAAUUCAUCUAGGAACAAGUCAUUCUUGUCCAAACGAGCCGUCAAAAAAUAUAAAUGAAUAAAUGAACAAACAAAUAAAUAAAAAAUCCCUUUGAAAGUUUGAUUUUAAUUUUCUUAACAUUUUAUUUAGUUUGCGUUUCCAUUGAGUAUUAAUACUUAAUCAAGUUUAGUGCUUUAAAAUCUUAGCAGUCACCGAAGGAAUUUACAAAUCUCUCUUUGCAAGUGUACGGACAAAUGUCUAUGACCUUACAAUUCCUAAGGAUUUUUCAACGAGAAAAAGAGAAUUACGUCUAAGCUUACUAGGGAGUUGUAAGCAUAAAUAUCAUUCCAUUCUCAUUUACAAAAAUAACCAAUUGAGUUGUCUGAAACUUACUAGUUAAUUAAUUAUAAAUAGUUUUGACAAAAAUCCUUAACCAAUACAAUUAAAUCAAGUAGUUUAUGAUUAAUUACUGAUUGUUGAUUUUUAAAGAACAAGGGAUAAAUUAGUCUGCUUGACAUGAAAGAAUACCCCAUCCGAUAAUAGUCCAUUAAACCUGAUCUAAGGCAAACGAAUUGACAUGGUCCGAUGAUUUUUACUUCAUAUUUGAAAAUAAUCAUUCAAAUUGCCAAGGAACUGUGCUUCCAAUUACAUUCCAUUAAGUGAAAUCAAAACCAUUUUUUGGCAGGGAAUUUGGUCCUGAAUCCUUAAGCUGACAAAGUUGUACACUACAAGUAAUUGCAAAGGGUCCUGGAGCAAAUAUUUGAGCAUAAGAGGAAUCCACACAAGUGCCUAAGGAAUUGACCAUUCAAGGAAACAACAUUUAAUCUAAAUAUCUAUAAUGAAAGUGUUCUUAAUAGCAAUAGUUAAAAAUCAAACGAUUGAUUAAAACACUAUUUUGUCUUCAAGGGUUUAAAAACAACUCAAAAUCAAGAAAAUCACAUCCAAAAUUUGGAUGAUGCAAACAGUGCUUUAAAGCAAGGAAAUAAACUCUCUGCCUGAAUAUAUAUUUCUUCAAAAUAUAUAUGAAGCACUCAACGCUUCUUAGAGACACCGACAGUCUUCC
rnacentral:lncRNA from 1 species